GUUUAUACAUGAACCAUGAGAAAUAAUAAUGGUUGUUGUUGCUUUAAGCUCCUAGGCUUUGGGUAAUGUGUUUUGUAGCGAUGGUCAAUAACACUGAGGUUUUGCCAGUUGAUUGCCAAAGGAUGUCUGCAGAAAUCCUCAAGACAUCUCAUGAGAUGGAAGACUGGUUUGCUCUGCAUUUUGCCUUGUGAAUGAGGACACACUUCUGAAGAAUCUCCGACCAGGAUGGGGUCAUUCCUCUGCCUGCUGUCCACUGUGGAGUGCAGUGGUUUGACUUCGGUGCAUCUUGGCCAGCAUUUCUUCUUAACAGAAAUCUAUUUGGUGCUUCUGGUAGAAAAUUUCAAGUCUGUUCUUUGGGACCAUUCCAUGAAUCCAAUAUCUCAUGACUAUUCUCAUUCAGGAAUUCUGAAUGAAAAAUAUAAGUAACCCCUCUUAGCCACUAGAACACAUUGAACCAUCCCUCAACAUUUCCCAGAACCUCAGGAAGGAAAGAGCUUUGCUAAGAUUAUUGGUUGUAAUUAAUCAUUUUGAGGAAAUAAAUUGUGGGCAUUAACCCCAAUGAUUAGGA